rnacentral:rRNA from 1 species
GAUGAACGCUGGCGGCGUGCCUAAUACAUGCAAGUCGAGCGAACAGACGAGGAGCUUGCUCCUCUGACGUUAGCGGCGGACGGGUGAGUAACACGUGGAUAACCUACCUAUAAGACUGGGAUAACUUCGGGAAACCGGAGCUAAUACCGGAUAAUAUAUUGAACCGCAUGGUUCAAUAGUGAAAGACGGUUUUGCUGUCACUUAUAGAUGGAUCCGCGCCGCAUUAGCUAGUUGGUAAGGUAACGGCUUACCAAGGCGACGAUGCGUAGCCGACCUGAGAGGGUGAUCGGCCACAUUGGAACUGAGCCACGGUCCAGACUCCUACGGGAGGCAGCAGUAGGGAAUCUUCCGCAAUGGGCGAAAGCCUGACGGAGCAACGCCGCGUGAGUGAUGAAGGUCUUCGGAUCGUAAAACUCUGUUAUUAGGGAAGAACAAAUGUGUAAGUAACUAUGCACGUCUUGACGGUACCUAAUCAGAAAGCCACGGCUAACUACGUG